CUCAUUUAAGGUUGGCAGUGGAUGUAGGUGUUUUGUUGGCGAGUCCUUGGUACUUGAAGUCUUCUGAGGGAAUUCCAGCCGGCUCCUGUCAGCGAAACCGGGAUGCCUCCCAGCCCCGGCCCUGCCGCGCAAGGUACAUGCCAGAAGCACACGUAACGCAGCAGCGAGACACGAAGUCCAGUUUAAACGCGAAGACGUAACCGUCUGCAGACAGCGUUACGUGGAUUCCUCGGAGCUUCUCGCUCAGGCU